GAAUACUUUUUCAUAAGAUUUUAUUUUACAGAAACAUUAGAAGAACUACGGAUAAAAUUAAAUUAUGAAAUUAUGGAGCAUUGGUUGUAUUAGUCCUCACUUGCCCCGGAAAGUAGCUGAACCCAUGGUCCUAAUGAAAGCAUGAAAGUGCCUUUUUUCCAUUGGGAAUGACGACAGUGUGCUCAAAAAAGGAUUCAUGACAAUGAACUGAUUGUCCCACAAAUCAGAAGGAAUUGCAAAGUAUUUUGGUGCUACUAAAACAACCGAUGCUUUAGAUGUCUUCAUCUUGCAACAUUAUGCAGUUAAUUUUGAACUUGCGAGGAGUAGACAACUGGAAAUUAAUUUGGAAACCACUGAAACACACAUUGUUUACAGUGGUAUCUCUCCAGGAUUUGGCUAGCUCAUCACACUUGUAGAUUUUAGGACCUACUUUCUGCAGUUAAUUAAGGUUAUACAAUAAAUGGGGGAGAAUUAAUAUUCAGUUUGGUUAUAUUGAAACAGCCAAUGUCUACAUGGGUGUGGUCUUUCGUGGAUUAUAUUCUUGAUUCGCUGUUUCGUCUUCGCCUUGUAACAUCAU